rnacentral:rRNA from 1 species
UGGGGAAUAUUGCACAAUGGAGGGAACUCUGAUGCAGCGACGCCGCGUGAACGAAGAAGGGUUUCGAGUCGUAAAGUUCUUUUAUAUGGGAAGAUAAUGACGGUACCAUAAGAAAAAGCCCCGGCUAACUACGUGCCAGCAGCCGCGGUAAUACGUAGGGGGCUAGCGUUGUCCGGAAUCACUGGGCGUAAAGGGUUCGCAGGCGGAAAUGCAAGUCAGGUGUAAAAGGCAGUAGCUUAACUACUGUAAGCAUUUGAAACUGCAUAUCUUGAGAAGAGUAGAGGUAAGUGGAAUUUUUAGUGUAGCGGUGAAAUGCGUAGAUAUUAAAAAGAAUACCGGUGGCGAAGGCGACUUACUGGGCUCAUUCUGACGCUGAGGAACGAAAGCGUGGGUAGCAAACAGG